UACGUAGGGGCCAAGCGUUGUCCGGAUUUAUUGGGCGUAAAGAGCUCGUAGGCGGUCUGUCGCGUCGGAUGUGAAAAUCCAGGGCUCAACCCUGGACCUGCAUUCGAUACGGGCAGACUAGAGUUCGGUAGGGGAGACUGGAAUUCCUGGUGUAGCGGUGAAAUGCGCAGAUAUCAGGAGGAACACCGGUGGCGAAGGCGGGUCUCUGGGCCGAAACUGACGCUGAGGAGCGAAAGCGUGGGGAGCGAACAGG
rnacentral:rRNA from 1 species